AUUUAUACUAUUGAUGGACCAUAUAAUUAUAUAAGAUUUUCAAAAAUAUUAUUAUCUUAUUAAUUUAUCGAUUUUUAUCAAUUUUUACAUUGGUCCCAACUUGCUCAGAAUCUGUGCUCAUUCUUAUGCAUUCUAAAGAACUUGCUCAGACUCUCUGCUCAUUACAGCAAAACUUCUAUAAAUUAAU
rnacentral:sRNA from 1 species